UACGUAGGGUGCGAGCGUUGUCCGGAAUUAUUGGGCGUAAAGGGCUCGUAGGCGGUCUGUCGCGUCGGGAGUGAAAACUCAGGGCUUAACCCUGAGCCUGCUUCCGAUACGGGCAGACUAGAGGUAUGCAGGGGAGAACGGAAUUCCUGGUGUAGCGGUGAAAUGCGCAGAUAUCAGGAGGAACACCGGUGGCGAAGGCGGUUCUCUGGGCAUUACCUGACGCUGAGGAGCGAAAGCGUGGGUAGCAAACAGG
rnacentral:rRNA from 1 species